rnacentral:rRNA from 1 species
UUCGCAAUGCCCGAAAGGGUGAACGAGCGACGCCGCGUGCGGGAUGAAGGCCUUCGGGUUGUAAACUCCUGUCGAGGGGGAGGAAGGCGCAAGCUUGACCGAUCCCUGGAGGAAGCACGGGCUAAGUUCGUGCCAGCAGCCGCGGUAAGACGAACUGUGCGAACGUUAUUCGGAAUCACUGGGCUUAAAGCGCGUGUAGGCGGAGGGGAACGUCGGAUUCUGAAAGCCCCCGGCUCAACCGGGGAAGUGGGUCCGAAACGACCUGUCUGGAGGGACGUAGGGGGACCUGGAACUUCCGGUGGAGCGGUGAAAUGCGUUGAGAUCGGAAGGAACGCCCGUGGCGAAAGCGAGGUCCUGGACGUCUGCUGACGCUGAGACGCGAAAGCUAGGGGAGCAAACGGGAUUAGAUACCCCGGUAGUCCUAGCCGUAAACGAUGGGCACUAAGUAGAGGGGUUUU